AUUGCACUAUGUUGACACUUUCUGACUAUCUCCUUAAAACUCUCCCAAGCUUCAAACACAGUUUCGGUAUCUUUCUGGCAAAAGUUGUGGAUUUGUAUUCUAAACUU
rnacentral:snoRNA from 1 species